rnacentral:rRNA from 1 species
GACGAACGCUGGCGGCGUGCCUAAUACAUGCAAGUCGAACGCAUUUUCUUUCACCGUAGCUUGCUACCCCGAAAGAAAAUGAGUGGCGAACGGGUGGGUAACCCGAGGGUAACCUGCCCAUCAGCGGGGGAUAACACUAGGAAACAGGUGCUAAUAUCGCAUAAUUCCAUUUACCGCAUGGUAGAUAGAUUAAAGGCGCUUUUGCGGCACUGUUGGAUGGGCCCGCGGUGCAUUAGCUAGUUGGGGGGGUAAAGGGCUACCAAGGCUGAGAGGCAUAGCCGACCUGAGGAGGUGAUCGGCCAAACUGGGAAUGAGACAACGCCCCGGAUCCUACGGGAGGGAGCAGUAAGGAAUCCUCAGCAAUGGACGCAAGUCUGAACGGGCAACGGCGCGUGAGUUAAGAAGGGUCUCGGAUCGGAAAACUCUGUUGUUAGAGAAGAACAAGGAGGGGAGUGGAAAGUUCAUCUCUUGACGGUAUCUAACCAGAAAGCCACGGCUAACUACGUG